rnacentral:rRNA from 1 species
AUUGAACGCUGGCGGCAGGCCUAAUACAUGCCAGUCGAACGGUAACAGGAAGAAGCUUGCUUCUUUGCUGACGAGUGGCGGACGGGUGAGUAAUGUCUGGGAAACUGCCUGAUGGAGGGGGAUAACUACUGGAAACGGUAGCUAAUACCGCAUAACGUCGCAAGACCAAAGAGGGGGACCUUCGGGCCUCUUGCCAUCGGAUGUGCCCAGAUGGGAUUAGCUAGUAGGUGGGGUAACGGCUCACCUAGGCGACGAUCCCUAGCUGGUCUGAGAGGAUGACCAGCCACACUGGAACUGAGACACGGUCCAGACUCCUACGGGAGGCAGCAGUGGGGAAUAUUGCACAAUGGGCGCAAGCCUGAUGCAGCCAUGCCGCGUGUAUGAAGAAGGCCUUCGGGUUGUAAAGUACUUUCAGCGGGGAGGAAGGGAGUAAAGUUAAUACCUUUGCUCAUUGACGUUACCCGCAGAAGAAGCACCGGCUAACCCCGUG